CUGGGGUGGAGGUGGGGCUUACAGAGCAGUCAGCAAUACGGGAGCAGGGCACCAGCGUCAUUGAUGAGCAGCUUAAAUAGACUGCCAAAUUGAUGGGGUGUUUUUAGUAAAUGAUACGGAGUGUGAAGCGUGUCAAACGUGUAUACAGCGGUGCAGCUCGAGUUGCCUGCCUGAACUAGCUCGCUGGCGUCGCCCCAUUUUUCUCAAGACACUGAA